rnacentral:piRNA from 1 species
CCCAAGGUCACACAGCCAGUAACCUGC